rnacentral:rRNA from 1 species
CCUACGGGAGGCAGCAGUGGGGGAUAUUGCACAAUGGGGGGAACCCUGAUGCAGCGACGCCGCGUGAAGGAAGAAGGCUUUCGGGUUGUAAACUUCUUUUCUCAGGGACGAAGAAAGUGACGGUACCUGAGGAAUAAGCCACGGCUAACUACGUGCCAGCAGCCGCGGUAAUACGUAGGUGGCAAGCGUUAUCCGGAUUUAUUGGGUGUAAAGGGCGUGUAGGCGGGAGCGCAAGUCAGAUGUGAAAACUCAGGGCUCAACCCUGAGCCUGCAUUUGAAACUGUGUUUCUUGAGUACUGGAGAGGCAGACGGAAUUCCUAGUGUAGCGGUGAAAUGCGUAGAUAUUAGGAGGAACACCAGUGGCGAAGGCGGUCUGCUGGACAGCAACUGACGCUGAGGCGCGAAAGCGUGGGGAGCAAACAGGAUUAGAUACCCUAGUAGUC